rnacentral:lncRNA from 1 species
GAAGCCAGGCCAAGAAGAAUCCCAGGACUGGAAGGCCUUGUGGGACGUCCCAGGUUUGUCUUGUGUCAAUAGCACUGAUACUCAAUCUCCUACUCCCAUCUGUGAGCAUGCAGACCCUACUUGCCUUCCCACAGCCUCCCUUUUCAUAUUUUUCAUGUUUCUUUAGCUCUGUCUUCAAGCCUUGUUGCUCCCGCAAAAAAACCUGCCUCUUCCUCCAGUCCUCCCAAGCAGGGGGAACAGUCCUGACACCUUUCCAAGCCCUGGUCCAUGGACAUUGUGCCCCCUUCUCCCUGCCCAUGGUGACCUGCUCCAAAACCCUCAAGGAGAAGGGAGUGUAUGUCAUUUCCUCCCUGUAAAGUAAAGAUAAUUUUGCAGGGGACUGUGUGGAUGAAAUGACAUGAUGCAUGGAAAUCCCUUAGCGUGUGCCUGGCAUGUAAACUGCAGGUGUCAUCAUUAUUACUGAGGAAUACUGAGUCCCGAACAUGGCUGUCUCAUUGGUGGACUGGGGUCUCCCCCAGGGCAUUCAUCUACUAUGUGUUUAUUGCACCCUUUUUCCAUGUGAGGCACAUGCCAGGGACUGGGCACAUGGUAUGAACAAGACACAGGUCAUCGGUGUCCUCUUGAGCUCCCUGGCUUGGCAGCAGAUGCAUACCUGGGAAGGAUGCUAGGUCAUCCGGGAACUCUACCUCCUUCAAAUCCCUAAGGACUGUGCUCCCAAUCCGCUUACGCUCAAGGAAGAACUGAGACCAGGCCCACAGAGUAUGGCUGUGCAAGUUGUUCACUCUACAAGGGCACCUGGCCGGGGUCUUACCUUGAAUGGAGGAGAAGAGCUUGAAGAUGAGGGGACAGGCCAAGACAACUACCUGGCCCCGAGGGGUGGCUGGCCAGCAGAUGAGGAAAUGGAGGCACAGACUGAUUAGAAAACCAGCUCAAGGUCAUGUUGCUGGGUUACUCAGGCUGAAAUGCUCAAGACACUCUGUCUCAAGGGAUUUGUGGCUGUUUCAUCCUCAAGUAUAGGGGGAAUAGUGGCCAGGAAGAUCUCAGAGGUGGCUUCUGGAAGAGGAAUCUGGGUACUGGCUACCCUGCCUUGUGUCCCAUCAUUGGUCUGUCUUGCCUGUCUUGGAGCACAUUUCUCACCAAGAAAUACUUCUAAGGGGCCAGGCGUGGUGACUCAUGCUUGUAAUUCCAAGCACUUUGGGAGGCUGAGGCAGGUGGAUCACCUGAAGCCAGGAGUUCAAGAGCAGCCUGGCCAACAUGGCGAAACCCUGUCUCUACUAAAAAUACAAAAUUUAGCCAGGCAUGGUGGCGGGAGCCUGUAAUCUCAGCUCCUAGGGAGGCUGAGCCAGAAGAAUCGCUUAAACCUGGAAGCUGGAGGUUGCAGUGAGCCAAGAUCACACCACCACACUCCAGCCUGGGUGACAGAGCAAGACUCCAUCUCAAAAAGAAAAAAAAGAAAAAAAGGAAAUACUUCUAAGUUAUGUGAGAGAGUACAUACUGACAUUUUCAAUGGGUACAAUAA